rnacentral:rRNA from 1 species
UACGUAGGUGGCGAGCGUUGUCCGGAUUUACUGGGCGUAAAGGGAGCGUAGGCGGAUUUUUAAGUGAGAUGUGAAAUACUCGGGCUCAACUUGAGUGCUGCAUUUCAAACUGGAAGUCUAGAGUACAGUAGAGGUAGGCGGAAUUCGUGGUGUAGCGGUGAAAUGCUUAGAUAUCACGAAGAACUCCGAUUGCGAAGGCAGCCUGCUGGACUGUAACUGACGCUGAUGCUCGAAAGUGUGGGUAUCAAACAGG